ACCCAUUGCAAGUCGAGGGGCAUCACGAAUUAGCAAUAGUUUGGUGGCGACCGGCGCACGGGUGCGUAACACGUAUACAACCUACCUUCAAUUGGGGGAUAACCUGGAGAAAUUCGGACUAAUAUCCCAUAGCAAACAGAGGAGGCAUCUUUUUUGUUUUAAAGAUUUAUUGAUUGGAGAUGGGUAUGCGCAGGAUUAGCUAGUUGGUAAGGUAACGGCUUACCAAGGCGACGAUCCUUAGGGGUUCUGAGAGGAAGGUCCCCCACACUGGUACUGAGACACGGACCAGACUCCUACGGGAGGCAGCAGUGAGGAAUAUUGGUCAAUGGUCGAGAGACUGAACCAGCCAAGUCGCGUGAAGGAAGACGGCUCUAUGAGUUGUAAACUUCUUUUGUACAGGAGUAAAGUGAGACACGUGUGUUUUAUUGCAAGUACUGUACGAAUAAGCAUCGGCUAACUCCGUGCCAGCAGCCGCGGUAAUACGGAGGAUGCAAGCGUUAUCCGGAUUUAUUGGGUUUAAAGGGUGCGUAGGCGGUAUUACAAGUCAGGGGUGAAAUCUUGGUGCUUAACAUUAAAAUUGCCUUUGAAACUGUGGUACUUGAGUGUAAAAGAGGUAGGCGGAAUGUGUUGUGUAGCGGUGAAAUGCAUAGAUAUAACACAGAA
rnacentral:rRNA from 1 species